UGGCUCAGAUGGUAAAAGCACCUGUUUGCAAUGCAGGAGACCCAGGUUCAAUCCCUGG
rnacentral:tRNA from 1 species